CUGGCGGCGUGCUUAACACAUGCAAGUCGAACGCGAAAGGGACUUCGGUCCUGAGUAAAGUGGCGCACGGGUGAGUAACGCGUAGAUAACCUGUCUUUAUGUCUGGAAUAAUAACGCCGAAAGGGGUACUAAUACCGGAUAUUUUUGCAUUGCAUAAGCAGUGUAAGCAAAGGUGGCCUCUGACAUAAGCUACUGCAUAAAGAGGGGUCUGCGUACCAUUAGCUAGUAGGUGGGGUAAAGGCCUACCUAGGCUACGAUGGUUAGCGGGUCUGAGAGGAUGAUCCGCCACACUGGCACUGGAACACGGGCCAGACUCCUACGGGAGGCAGCAGUGAGGAAUAUUGCGCAAUGGGGGCAACCCUGACGCAGCGACGCCGCGUGAGUGAGGAAGGCCUUCGGGUCGUAAAGCUCUGUCAAAGGGAAAGAAGUGCAUGGUGGUUAAUACCUGCCAUGUUUGACGGUACCCUUAAAGGAAGCACCGGCUAACUCCGUGCCAGCAGCCGC
rnacentral:rRNA from 1 species